AGGGAAGCUGGCCAACGGGUUCAGCCCAAACUGAGCCGCUACACUGUGGCAGGCAUCAUUAGGACAUUUCGAAAUGAGAAUCGGUAAGUACUUUGUAGCACUGCCAUACUCUAAUGAGAAACACAACAGUACCAUACAUGCAAAAAUACUGAAAUUGUUACUUUACAGAAUUGCUAGACGUCCAGAUGUUGGGGGCAGAGGCAGAAUGUUCACUGCAGAGCAAGAGACCCAUAUAGUGAACAUGAACAAGAAUGAAGCAAAUUUACAGAGUUCCUUUCGAGAGAAACACAGAACGUGUAAAGCAACUGCGAUAUGACUAUGUGCAGAGAGUGAUGGAACUAGAAGCAGAUGCAAUGGGACAUGAGCU